rnacentral:siRNA from 1 species
UUGAUGGUAUCUUUUAGGCAAUA